GAUGAACGCUGGCGGCGUGCCUAAUACAUGCAAGUCGAACGAAACUUCUUUAUCACCGAGUGCUUGCACUCACCGAUAAAGAGUUGAGUGGCGAACGGGUGAGUAACACGUGGGAAAGCUGCCCAAAAGAGGGGGAUAACACUUGGAAACAGGUGCUAAUACCGCAUAACCAUAGUUACCGCAUGGUAACUAUGUAAAAGGUGGCUAUACUACCGCUGUUGGAUGGGCCCGCGGCGCAUUAGCUAGUUGGUAGGGUAAAGGCUUACCAAGGCAAUGAUGCGUAGCCGACUUGAGAGGUUGAUCGGCCACAUUGGGACUGAGACACGGCCCAAACUCCUACGGGAGGCAGCAGUAGGGAAUCUUCCACAAUGGGCGAAAGCCUGAUGGAGCAACGCCGCGUGGGUGAAGAAGGUCUUCGGAUCGUAAAACCCUGUUGUUAGAGAAGAACGUGCGUGAGAGUAACUGUUCACGUUUCGACGGUAUCUAACCAGAAAGCCACUGCUAACUACGUG
rnacentral:rRNA from 1 species